CACGUAGGGGGCGAGCGUUGUCCGGAUUCAUUGGGCGUAAAGAGCUCGUAGGUGGUUUGUCGCGUUGUCCGUGAAAACUCACAACUCAAUUGUGGGCGUGCGGGCGAUACGGGCAGACUGGAGUACUGCAGGGGAGACUGGAAUUCCUGGUGUAGCGGUGGAAUGCGCAGAUAUCAGGAGGAACACCGGUGGCGAAGGCGGGUCUCUGGGCAGUAACUGACGCUGAGGAGCGAAAGCGUGGGGAGCGAACAGG
rnacentral:rRNA from 1 species